UCAAGGUAAACAUAAUAACUGGACAGGAAGCUCAAUUCCAUUAAGUGAUGGAAGUCUCAAGAUCCUUUCAUUAUAAAAAUGUCAAGUUGGAAUACAUACUUCGAGAAUUUUAAGCAUAUUAAUCUUUCAAAGGGCAAUAAACCCAAGAUAGAAGGUUCCCCAAAAUUUCUCUAACACUUGAAAUAUCAAAAUGAAGCUACAACUAAUAGCCUCUAAGCUCUCAGGUAACUGUCUCAAAGACCUCAAGCAGAAGCUGUUGCCUUCUUCCUUGGAGCUGCUUCAGCACCUGGACAAACAACAGUACUCACUCCUACAAGUUAUGACCAGAUAUUCUUGAUCAUCAAUUGUCAAUGUCUAAACCCACUAAUUAGUCAAACUAAAAUAGUAGAGAUCACUCUGAAUUAUAGAUGUGCAUCUUUCACAAUCACUCAUAAUUUUCAUGCAAAAUAUUUUGUGAAAAACAGUUCUAUCUUGAAAAUUUAUUUUCUAGAACUAUUUGCAGCAUUAGGUUGGGUACAAAGUCACUGUAAUGUACUCAACAC
rnacentral:lncRNA from 1 species